CACUCCUGCGGGAGGCAGCAGUGGGGAAUAUUGCACAAUGGGCGCAAGCCUGAUGCAGCCAUGCCGCGUGUAUGAAGAAGGCCUUCGGGUUGUAAAGUACUUUCAGCGGGGAGGAAGGCGAUAAGGUUAAUAACCUUGUCGAUUGACGUUACCCGCAGAAGAAGCACCGGCUAACUCCGUGCCAGCAGCCGCGGUAAUACGGAGGGUGCAAGCGUUAAUCGGAAUUACUGGGCGUAAAGCGCACGCAGGCGGUCUGUCAAGUCGGAUGUGAAAUCCCCAGGCUCAACCUGGGAACUGCAUUCGAAACUGGCAGGCUAGAGUCUUGUAGAGGGGGGUAGAAUUCCAGGUGUAGCGGUGAAAUGCGUAGAGAUCUGGAGGAAUACCGGUGGCGAAGGCGGCCCCCUGGACAAAGACUGACGCUCAGGUGCGAAAGCGUGGGGAGCAAACAGGAUUAGAAACCCUGGUAGUCCC
rnacentral:rRNA from 1 species